GAUGCAGUGUACCCGCGGCAAGACGGAAAGACCCCGUGAACCUUUACUAUAGCUUGACACUGAACAUUGAGCCUUGAUGUGUAGGAUAGGUGGGAGGCUUUGAAGUGUGGACGCCAGUCUGCAUGGAGCCGACCUUGAAAUACCACCCUUUAAUGUUUGAUGUUCUAACGUGGACCCGUAAUCCGGGUUGCGGACAGUGUCUGGUGGGUAGUUUGACUGGGGCGGUCUCCUCCUAAAGAGUAACGGAGGAGCACGAAGGUUGGCUAAUCCUGGUCGGACAUCAGGAGGUUAGUGCAAUGGCAUAAGCCAGCUUGACUGCGAGCGUGACGGCGCGAGCAGGUGCGAAAGCAGGUCAUAGUGAUCCGGUGGUUCUGAAUGGAAGGGCCAUCGCUCAACGGAUAAAAGGUACUCCGGGGAUAACAGGCUGAUACCGCCCAAGAGUUCAUAUCGACGGCGGUGUUUGGCACCUCGAUGUCGGCUCAUCACAUCCUGGGGCUGAAGUAGGUCCCAAGGGUAUGGCUGUUCGCCAUUUAAAGUGGUACGCGAGCUGGGUUUAGAACGUCGUGAGACAGUUCGGUCCCUAUCUGCCGUGGGCGCUGGAGAACUGAGGGGGGCUGCUCCUAGUACGAGAGGACCGGAGUGGACGCAUCACUGGUGUUCGGGUUGUCAUGCCAAUGGCACUGCCCGGUAGCUAAAUGCGGAAGAGAUAAGUGCUGAAAGCAUCUAAGCACGAAACUUGCCCCGAGAUGAGUUCUCCCUGAGACUUAGAGUCUCCUGAAGGAACGUUGAAGACGACGACGUUGAUAGGCCGGGUGUGUAAGCGCAGCGAUGCGUUGAGCUAACCGGUACUAAUGAACCGUGAGG
rnacentral:rRNA from 1 species